CCUACGGGUGGCAGCAGUGAGGAAUAUUGGACAAUGGGCGCGAGCCUGAACCAGCCAAGUAGCGUGAAGGAUGACGGCCCUACGGGUUGUAAACUUCUUUUAUAAAGGAAUAAAGUGAGGCAAGUGUGCCUUGUUGUAUGUACUUUAUGCAUAAGGAUCGGCUAACUCCGGGCCAGAAGCCGCGGUAAGACGGAGGAUCCGAGCGUUAUCCGGAUUUAUUGGGUUUAAACGGCGCGUAGAUGGGUGGUUAAGUCAGUUGUGAAAGUUUGCGGCUCAACCGUAAAAUUGCAAUUGAUACUGGCAGUCUUGAGUACGGUUGAGGUAGGCGGAAUUCGUGGUGUAGCGGUGAAAUGCUUAGAUAUCACGAAGAACUCCGAUUGCGAAGGCAGCUUACUAGACUGCCACUGACGUUGAUGCUCGAAAGUGUGGGUAUCGAACAGGAUUAGAUACCCGGGUAGUC
rnacentral:rRNA from 1 species